CCUUCUCCCACUAUUCCUUUUUUUUCUCCUUGUCUUGCCUAAUUCUCUUCUUAAGCCCUUGUCCUAAAGUAGACCUUUAUCCCAAAGAGGACUUUAUCUUAACAAAAAAAAGAAGAGGAUUAUUGGAACAAUAGCAGAGAGGAUGUAAGAAAGAAAGGAUUGGAAUGAAUGAAUCAGAUACCUGACACACCACCCUAUUUAUAGAUGGC
rnacentral:lncRNA from 1 species